AUGGGAUGGCUGCGUCACGGGCGGUGGCUUUACCCACUAUGCCACAGCGCCGAACCCUUGGCACUUUCUUUACACAGCGUCUCACUUGAUCCUGACGCCGCCCGGCCUGUUGGUCCUGGGCCGUGGACGAGAGAACAGAGAGGGCACUGCUGUGACAGGGGCUCUGCGGCCUCCUGCUGGGCCCUGGCCCCUCUCUGUACAGGACCCUCAGAACCUCCAGCCCCGGGGCUCCUGCAGCUCAGCUCAUCGGCCGAAGCCUCCCCAGGAGGGAACGCGGACGGCUCACUCUCAGGGCUAUCGGGAGAGCCUAUUGCAGCAAAGAGGCACACAGCAAACACCACUGUGUGGGCUCUGACCUCUGACCUCUGA
rnacentral:lncRNA from 1 species